AGGGUGCAGGGGUUCCUCCGGGCCGUGGUUUACUCCCUCCUUCCUCCCCAACUAAUACUCUUCUUGUCUUCCUCCUCCCCACCAACCCUCAGCUUCCUGUUUUUAAGAAAAAUCAUCUAGAUUUUUCAGUUAACUGCUCUUGCUGCCCCCCAAACAAUUCACCCCACUUCUUCAGCAGAAGGACAGUCUCAGACUGCAGUAUUGGGGAAAAGUAAUGGGAAGAGUGUGGCCAGAACAGGGACUCCGACUUUGAGCUAUGUUCGGGCCUUCGUUUCCAUUUGGCCUCCCUAAUUUAAAUGCCCAGCUUCACAGGCAGCUCCCCGCAAACUCUGUUAGAACACCAGGGACCAGCUCCCUCUAGUGCCUCCAGCCUCCAAGCUGAUGCUGAGCCUUUUGGAUGGGACAGGCCCUGGGGCACGGCAGAGACUCCUGAGCUGGGCCCAAGCUUCAAAGCUGAAACGAUUCAGGUGGUAGAGAAAGUGAGCCCUCAGUACUGGGCAAUACAGACCCGAAGCAGGACACGCUUGGGUUUUAAGUUCUGCAAAGUGAAACUGAGAUCUUGAGAUGCCAGUGCAGCAGGGGAUUGGCCCUAAGCAACCUCUGCUAGAACACAGAGACGAGAAGUGGGCUGGUGCUUCUGCGGUGAGGUGGUGGUAUUUCUGGAGAGAGGUCAGAGGCAGGGGAAGCCAAGCAGAAGCAGCAGGACCUGAAGCGCUCAGACCGACACCAGGGCCAGCUUAAUGAAGACAAAUUGAAGGGCAAACUGAGAUCCUUAGAAAACCAGCUGUACGCCUGUACCCAGAAAUACUCCCCUUGGGGAAUGAAAAAGGUGCUAUUAGAGAUGGAGGACCAGAAAAACAGCUAUGAGCAGAAGGCCAAGGAAUCACUGCAGAAGGUGCUGGAGGAGAAAAUGAGCGCAGAGCGGCAACUGCAGAGCACACAGCGGUCCCUGGCUCUAGCCGAGCAGAAGUGUGAAGAGUGGAAGAGCCAGUAUGAGGCUCUGAAGGAGGACUGGAGGACCCUGGGCACGCAGCACAGAGAGUUGGAGAGCCAGCUCCAUGUGCUUCAGUCCAAACUGCAGGGAGCAGACAGCAGGGACUCACAGAUGAACCAGGCCCUACGCCUUCUGGAGAGCGAGCACCAAGAGCUGCAGGCCAGGAUUGAAUGCCUGCAGGAGGACAGAGACCUCUGCAGCUCGGACACCCAGCACCUGCAAGAUCAACUAAAGAGGUCAGAGGAGGAGAAGCUCGCCCUGGUGACCAAAGUACAGCAGCUGGAGAGUCUGCUUCAGAACCAAUCCUUACAGCUUCAAGAACAGGAGAAACUCUUAACAAAGAAAGGUCAGCAAAUUUAUUUCCACAAAUUCUAAGAUAUUGCUCUUUCCUUGCCCUCCUAGAGGCAGAGGGAUGGACUACAUGACCCCGUGUGAGGGACUCUUAGGUCAGGGAGCUAAAGGAGCACUUUAAGGACUCAUCACUGGCUCUGAGAACACUUUAGCUAGCUAACCUCCUAUCCUGAGAGGUAUAUAAACUAUGGAAAAGAUUUCUACUCCCUCUGAAAACAUACAUCUGUAUUGAACAUUUCAAUAAAUUGAUUUUGAACUCAGGAUUUUAUGUCAAUUUUUACCCUUGACUUUCCAAACCACACCCAGCUCCCCAGGUAGAAACUAUGUCACAUCCAACAGUCACCUCACUCUCAGCCCUCAAGUCCGCUGCCUCAGCUUCCUGAGGACUCACCACACAUCUGGGGGGCGACAGCGCCUCCCGUACUCCCUGCAUGUGGCCAUUUGUUUUCCCACCACAAUCACUGGGUAAAACAUAAAGCGGGAAUGAUGAUGCCCACGUAGGAUGGGUAAGAAAAUGAAGGUAAAUGAAGGUAGUUGGUCGUACAAAUUAAGGCUACAGCUAGGACAACAAUCCAGAAUUUCUGACUCUCAGCCCAGGGCUCUCUUCACCAAGAUCAGACUGCCAAGGGGCCGAUCAACCAGCUUUAACUACAUGAAGAUGAAUUCUAGGUUAUGAUUGCCAUUCUCACCAUUUUGAAACAAGGACAGAAAUGGAAAAUGGAAAAUGGACAGGGAAAUGGAGUUAUACUAAAGCAUCCAGCAAACCCACCAGACUAAAAGAUGUGACAUGCAACCAAAGAAACUAAACAAACACUUUCUAAAAGUAUCUGGCAUUAAGCAGGACUAACAAUACAGAGAAAAGAUACCAACCUUGCCCUCAAGGGGUUCCAAUUCCACUCUCUGUCCAGGCUGAGCAUGCUCCCAGUGAGAGUUCUUUAAAAAUCAGAGGACUGCCAGCCAGGCAGUGUGGCCAGGGACAGGCUCUUCCCUGCUCCCCCAGUCCCGUUCCCUCUCCCCACAGGGUGCUCUCAGUGUCAGGACCCUUCCUCAGAGGCAUGGGCCUCACUGUCACUGAGAAUCUGGCUGCUUUUUUAGAUCAGGCUUUGCCUGUGAGGAGCCCAAAGCCCUCCCAUAACCAAGUGGAGCCUGAGGGUCCAGGGAAGGAGCAAGACUUGGAUUUCAGAGAUGAGCUCCAGAAGAAAACUCUGCAACUCCUGGCCAAGGAAAAGGAGUGCAGAGAGCUGCAUUCGGAACUAGACAACCUCAGUGACGAGUACCUCUCCUGCCUGCGUAAGCUGCAGCACUGUCGAGAAGAGCUCAGCCAGAGCCAACAGCCGCCCCCCAGAAGGCAAUGUGGCCGGUGGCUCCUGAUGCUGAUGGCGCUGACUGCUAUUGCAGUGGCAGUGAUGCUGGCCAAUAAGGACAACCUGAUGCUCUAACUGGUGACUGCUGCCCUGGGUGAAAAUCAGAAACAAGAAACUC